rnacentral:rRNA from 1 species
GAUGAACGCUGGCGGCGUGCCUAAUACAUGCAAGUCGAGCGAACAGAUGAGGAGCUUGCUCCUCUGACGUUAGCGGCGGACGGGUGAGUAACACGUGGAUAACCUACCUAUAAGACUGGGAUAACUUCGGGAAACCGGAGCUAAUACCGGAUAAUACAUUGAACCGCAUGGUUCAAUAGUGAAAGACGGUUUUGCUGUCACUUAUAGAUGGAUCCGCGCCGCAUUAGCUAGUUGGUAAGGUAACGGCUUACCAAGGCAACGAUGCGUAGCCGACCUGAGAGGGUGAUCGGCCACACUGGAACUGAGACACGGUCCAGACUCCUACGGGAGGCAGCAAUAGGGAAUCUUCCGCAAUGGGCGAAAGCCCGACGGAGCAACGCCGCGUGAGUGAUGAAGGUCUUCGGAUCGUAAAACUCUGUUAUUAGGGAAGAACAAAUGUGUAAGUAACUAUGCACGUCUUGACGGUACCUAAUCAGAAAGCCACGGCUAACUACGUG